AAGUGGGGGGUGGGAGGUACACGGAGAGGGUGCGAAAGCCAAAGGAAGGAAGGGAAUUUGAAAGGAGAAGCCACCAAUGGUGUGAGGUGCUGGCCAGAGGGCAGGUUGGAUAGCGGAGACAGGCCCCGGGCAUUUGGUGACUCCAACAUUGAGAAUCUUGGGGAGAUGGUUCCCGGAGAUUCGAGUGAGGAAUUCUCCAUGGAGCCAGUCUUUUCCAGAAGUUCUGAUAAAGUGAGGAGAGAGUGUCCAAGCAGGGGAGGACUUUGGGAUAAGGGUGAAGAGCAGUUUAAAGCAGACCGUGUGGUUAAAGCACAGGCUCUGGGGUCAGGGGUCCCCACACACUAUCUGCGAGAUCUUGGACAAGUCACUUAACCGGUUUGUGCCUCAGUUUCUGAUCUGUAAAAUGGGGAUGAUGAUGAUGAUGAUGAUGGACAAUGCCUGCCUGUUAAGGAUCAUGUGAAGAUUAGCUGAGACAGUUAAAAGUACUUAACGUGGCCCUAAAAUGCUGUACCGAUCAUUUUCCACUUUUAUUAUUGGAACAACUUGGGCAUAUUUUGAUGUUCGUAUGGAAGAGCUGGUGGAGAAGGAGGCAUUGGAAGAUGGAGAGGAGAGAAAGGGGACUAGGAGAAAGGGACCCAGAACUUGGAUGGGAGAUAAGAUCCUGUCUGUGCCGAAGGAGGGGAAAGAGAGAAUUGGUGGGGAUGCAGGGAAGUUUGCAGGUUUGGGGUAUGUGGUUAAGGGACUGCCUUUCUCUGAAGUAGGCCUCAAGGUUGUUUGCUGAGAGGGCCAGGCCAUGGCUGGCCCUGGUGAGGAGGGAGGUCCCAGUUUACACUGCCGUGGUAGGGUACCAUGCCCUUUGCCAGGAGCCCCAGUGUCGUUCCAGCGAAGAGGGGCAGUUGAAUUUUUCUGGGGUCAGAGGACAACAUCUGACCUGCCUUGCCCACUUACGAGGCUCAAGUAAAGUUGAUGGGUGUGAAAACGCUAUAUAAGCAAAAUUUACCAUCUUAAUUCUGUUCCCUGAUCUUGAAGAGCUAGGAGCACAGUGGCCCUGAGUGGAACACCAUGCCAAAGCCUUCCAAGCAGUCCCCUUGGGCCAUGCACCACGCCAGGUUCCCACCCUUCACCUCAUUCCGCCAUCACACCAGACGGGGAAGGUGGAAACUAUUAUCCCCAUUUCACAGAUGCACAGACUGACAUUCAGAGGAGUUAAAGGCCAUGUCCCAGGACCCAAAGCUAGUAAAUGGAAGACCCAGGAUCCCAACUCCCAUGUGUCAGACCUCAAAGCCUAUGAUUUGAAAUCACUAUGAAAGUUUGCAAAAUCCAGCAGGAUAGGAAGAUGUGGAUCUACCAUCCAGUAGAUGAGGUUAAGAAGACCCACUGUGAGGAAGUGACUGUUACCUGAGACACUCGGGCCAGCGCACAGCUAAAGCGCCUGGAGCUUGCAUUUUUGAACCAGCCUCCAGAACCCUGGGGAUUUCCACUGGGGCGGUGAGCACCCUCACCGAGAAUUCUAGGCUGCUUCAGGGUGCCAGGGAACACCGGCUGUGACCGCGCCACUGAAGUCCCCAGGAGGAGGAGGAGGAGGAAGCCAGCAGGAAGCAGCCCAAGAAUGACUGGACACUCCUAAAGCCUUCAGUCACCAUCCAGGGGAUUUUUUGCACCACAAAGGGUAAUUCCUGCCCCAUCCCUGCUGUGACUCAGCCGUGACGUUGAACCACACAAGCCAGCAAAAAGAUAAAGUUGUCAGACUCCUGCUCACCAGAGAGAACUCACCUCUUCUCUCAGCACAGACUUUACAGGCCCGGUCCCCGCCCCAGAGGAGCGUAGACGGGCCCCCCAGGCCAGCCUGGGACCCCGGGAUGGCCUCUGGCUCAGCCAGCAGCCCCCGCCCAGCCCCUGAUGAGAACGAGUUUCCCUUUGGGUGGCCCCCCACCGCCUGCCCGGACCCACCAGAGCCCAGGGCCCUCUGCUGUGCUGCCUGUCUCUCUGAGAACGUGAGGUGAGGGGUCGGA